rnacentral:misc_RNA from 1 species
AGGACUGGAACUCAGGUCAGAAAGCAGGAACUGAAG